rnacentral:rRNA from 1 species
GAUCAUGGCUCAGGACGAACGCUGGCGGCGUGCUUCAUACAUGCAAGUCGAACGAGAAGCAAGAGCUUGCUCUUGUGGAAAGUGGCGGACGGGUGAGUAACAUGUAGGAAAUCUGCCCUUUAGCGGGGGACAACAGUUGGAAACGACUGCUAAUACCCCAUAUGAGCUAGCCUGAAAUGGUUAUCUUGAAAACUACCGGUGCUAAAGGAUGAGCCUGCACCUGAUUAGCUAGUUGGG